UGGGGAAUAUUGGACAAUGGGCGCAAGCCUGAUCCAGCCAUGCCGCGGGAGUGAUGAAGGCCCUAGGGUUGUAAAGCUCUUUCACCGGUGAAGAUAAUGACGGUAACCGGAGAAGAAGCCCCGGCUAACUUCGUGCCAGCAGCCGCGGUAAUACGAAGGGGGCUAGCGUUGUUCGGAUUUACUGGGCGUAAAGCGCACGUAGGCGGACUAUUAAGUCAGGGGUGAAAUCCCGGGGCUCAACCCCGGAACUGCCUUUGAUACUGGUAGUCUUGAGUUCGAGAGAUGUGGGUGGAAAUCCGAGUGUAAAGGUGAAAUUCGUAGAUAUUCUGAGGAACACCAGUGGCGAAGGCGGCUCACUGGCUCGAUACUGACGCUGAGGUGCGAAAGCGUGGGGAGCAAACAGG
rnacentral:rRNA from 1 species